GACGAACGCUGGCGGCGUGCCUAAUACAUGCAAGUAGAACGCUGAAGGAGGAGCUUGCUUCUCUGGAUGAGUUGCGAACGGGUGAGUAACGCGUAGGUAACCUGCCUGGUAGCGGGGGAUAACUAUUGGAAACGAUAGCUAAUACCGCAUAAGAGUAGAUGUUGCAUGACAUUUGCUUAAAAGGUGCAAUUGCAUCACUACCAGAUGGACCUGCGUUGUAUUAGCUAGUUGGUGGGGUAACGGCUUACCAAGGCGAAGAUACAUAGCCGACCUGAGAGGGUGAUCGGCCACACUGGGACUGAGACACGGCCCAGACUCCUACGGGAGGCAGCAGUAGGGAAUCUUCGGCAAUGGACGGAAGUCUGACCGAGCAACGCCGCGUGAGUGAAGAAGGUUUUCGGAUCGUAAAGCUCUGUUGUAAGAGAAGAACGAGUGUGAGAGUGGAAAGUUCACACUGUGACGGUAUCUUACCAGAAAGGGACGGCUAACUACGUG
rnacentral:rRNA from 1 species